CACUAAUUUCACAAAUUUUCAGUAAAAGAUUAGGAUUUCAUGAGAGAUCUAAGAAAGGAUCGGAAGACGAUGAAGAAAGAAAACUAGAAAAUACUUAGAGAGAAAAACCAACAUACUCUCAAAACCAAAAGCGAAAGAAUGAGCCAAACCGUCACCUUCCAGGAGGAUUUAGAACCAAUUGAUCAAUCUUAGCCAUUAAUCCAAAUCAAUGGUCCAAAUUCCUUUUCAGCUAGCGCAACUCAAGUGAAGGUUAAUCCACUAGUUAGGGGUAGCCAUGUGGCUUUCAACAUCCAACCGGAUUAAUGUUUUAUAGAAAAAUCAUUUUAUCCUUCCAUAAGUUUUGUUUUUGAGAAGCAUGUUUUUUACAAAUCCUACUUCCUUUAAAAGAGAGAAUAGCCGAAUACUAUUCAUUCUGGUGGCCUCCUUUUCACAUUGAAUUUGGUUCCAUUAUUGUUCAACAACUAGCUUCUCACUGUUCAUUAAAUUAUCUUCCACUAUUCAUUAAUAAAUAUCUGAAGUAAUUAUUUCUUGCCCAUUUUUCUUUGCCCUAUUUAUUCUCUCAAGUCCUUCAUCCUCCUCUUUUCCUCUCCUGUUCUUGAUCAUGUCUUUGUUGAUUGAUUUCCCAAUUCAGAGCUUGUUGGUUGUGGACGUCUCCACUUCUUCGAAGAGGCUCUCCGUUUCUCCUCCUCCACUCAAAGAAACUAUUGACAAUCAAUCUGCCUCCACCAGAAGAAACAUUUUCUCCCUCCGUGUGAAGGCUGUGUGAUCUUUGGAUUUUCAAGUAGCAAUUGAAGAUCCAACCAUUCACUAGAUUCUAUGGGAAUAGUUUCAGCUCUUGGGCUUUUAUUUUCCUUUUUCUGCUAUUUUUUAAUUAUUUUUUAAUCUUUCUUUUCCUACCUCCGUCCCCUUCUUUUAAUUUUUCUUGUUCUUUUUUUUUUGGUAUGUUUACUUGCAAGAUUUUCUGCUUUUAUUUAUUCAAGAUUUAUUGUAGUGCUUCAUUUGGG
rnacentral:lncRNA from 1 species